GCACUGUUGAGGAGUCCUACAGAGGGACGAAACGGCCGUCCAGUGC
rfam:Schistosoma rodhaini strain Burundi genome assembly, scaffold: SROB_scaffold0015672